UGGGGAAUAUUGGACAAUGGGCGCAAGCCUGAUCCAGCCAUGCCGCGUGAGUGAUGAAGGCCCUAGGGUUGUAAAGCUCUUUCACCGGUGAAGAUAAUGACGGUAACCGGAGAAGAAGCCCCGGCUAACUUCGUGCCAGCAGCCGCGGUAAUACGAAGGGGGCUAGCGUUGUUCGGAUUUACUGGGCGUAAAGCGCACGUAGGCGGACUUUUAAGUCAGGGGUGAAAACCCGGGGCUCAACCCCGGAACUGCCUUUGAUAAUGGAAGUCUUGAGUAUGGUAGAGGUGAGUGGAAUUCCGCGUGUAGAGGUGAAAUUCGUAGAUAUUCGGGGGAACACCAGUGGCGAAGGCGGCUGACUGGACCAUUACUGACGCUGAGGUGCGAAAGCGUGGGGAGCAAACAGG
rnacentral:rRNA from 1 species